rnacentral:rRNA from 1 species
UACGAAGGGGGCUAGCGUUGUUCGGAAUUACUGGGCGUAAAGCGCACGUAGGCGGAUUGUUAAGUGAGGGGUGAAAUCCCAGGGCUCAACCCUGGAACUGCCUUUCAUACUGGCAAUCUUGAGUAUGGAAGAGGUGAGUGGAAUUCCGAGUGUAGAGGUGAAAUUCGUAGAUAUUCGGAGGAACACCAGUGGCGAAGGCGGCUCACUGGUCCAUUACUGACGCUGAGGUGCGAAAGCGUGGGGAGCAAACAGG